UUAUCCGGAUUUAUUGGGUUUAAAGGGAGCGUAGGCGGACGUUUAAGUCAGUUGUGAAAGUUUGCGGCUCAACCGUAAAAUUGCAGUUGAUACUGGGUGUCUUGAGUACAGUAGAGGCAGGCGGAAUUCGUGGUGUAGCGGUGAAAUGCUUAGAUAUCACGAAGAACUCCGAUUGCGAAGGCAGCUUGCUGGACUGUAACUGACGCUGAUGCUCGAAAGUGUGGGUAUCAAACAGGAUUAGAUACCCUGGUAGUCCACACAGUAAACGAUGAAUACUCGCUGUUUGCGAUAUACAGUAAGCGGCCAAGCGAAAGCGUUAAGUAUUCCACCUGGGGAGUACGCCGGCAACGGUGAAACUCAAAGGAAUUGACGGGGGCCCGCACGAGCGGAGGAACAUGUGGUUUAAUUC
rnacentral:rRNA from 1 species